AAACUUUACAAUGCGGGAAACCGUGAUAAGGGAAUCUCGAGUGCCAGCAUAUAAUGUUGGCUGUCUGGAUGCCUAAAAAGCAUCUGUUAGCAAGGCCGGGCAAGACCGGUGCCAGCCGCCGCGGUAACACCGGCGGCCCGAGUGGUAACCGCUUUUAUUGGGUCUAAAGGGUCUGUAGCCGGCCAAGUAAGUCCCUUGGGAAAUCUGGCAGCUCAACUGUCAGGCUGCUAGGGGGUACUGUUUGGCUUGGGACCGGGAGAGGUGAGAGGUACCUUGGGGGUAGGGGUGAAAUCUUGUGAUCCUCGAGGGACCACCAGUGGCGAAGGCGUCUCACCAGAACGGGUCCGACGGUAAGGGACGAAAGCUAGGGGCACGAACCGGAUUAGAUACCCGGGUAG
rnacentral:rRNA from 1 species